GACGUAGGGCGCGAGCGUUGUCCGGAUUUAUUGGGCGUAAAGAGCUCGUAGGCGGCUUGUCGCGUCGUCUGUGAAAUCCCGCGGCUCAACCGCGGGUCUGCAGUCGAUACGGGCAGGCUAGAGUUCGGUAGGGGAGACUGGAAUUCCUGGUGUAGCGGUGAAAUGCGCAGAUAUCAGGAGGAACACCGGUGGCGAAGGCGACAUCCUGGGCCGUUACUGACGCUGAGGCACGAAAGCCGGUAGG
rnacentral:rRNA from 1 species